GAGAAGCAAAGCCGCGAGGUAGAGCAAAUCUCAAAAAAACAAUCUCAGUUCAGACUGCAGGCUGCAACUCGCCUGCACGAAGUCGGAAUUGCUAGUAAUCGUAGGUCAGCAUACUACGGUGAAUACGUUCCCGGGCCUUGAACACACCGCCCGUCAAACCAUGAGAGUUGGCAACACCCGAAGUCGGUAGUCUAACCGCAAGGAGGACCGCCGCCGAAGGUGGGGUUGAUGAUUAGGGUUAAGUCGUAACAAGGUAGC
rnacentral:rRNA from 1 species